GGCCUGAUGCCACGUCUCUGAUAGCUGCAAGGCGUUGACCGGAGAUGCUACAUUGGGCCGAGAAAGAGUUCUCUGGACGCUUCACAUGUUGAUAGGAACCUGUGGCUGUGAUUGAGUCGGUACACAGAGCCGGUUUUUGUGAUCACAUUU
rfam:Brachypodium distachyon strain Bd21 chromosome 2, whole genome shotgun sequence.